ACACAUAUCCACGGCCACGGUCAUGGCCAGCCGCCAACAGCAACAGCAGCAGGUGGUUGGUAAGCAUAGCUAGGAGUCGCAGCAACGCGAGGACUUCAAGAGGCCGGUGUCACGGGCGUCGCGUUGGCACGGUGAUGCGGCGACAGGGACGCAGGCGGCACAGCGACACGGGGACGUCGGGAGGCCGGUGUCGCACUGGUUGCAGAGAAGAGGGUCCCACCCAGACCGCGGUUCCAACAUCAUUUUGCCCCAUCGUGGGCACCAACUGUCAUCGUUUUUUCGCAACAGAUGCCAGGGGGUGUCUAAUCGAGGCGAGAGCAAGGCUGUCGUGGAAGAUUCGGGAGAGGAUAGGGUAGUAGCACGCGGCGGUUUACCCAAGUCCGGGGCUCUCCGGAGAUAUAAUAACCCUACUCCUUCAUGUCUGUAUAUGAGGUGUAUUUGUAGUAAAGAGUUGCUCCUGGAGCUAUAUUGGAGGAGGGAGAGGGAGCUAAGUGAUCUAUUCCUUGGUCUCACGUAUGUGUGAG
rnacentral:lncRNA from 1 species